rnacentral:misc_RNA from 1 species
UCCGGUUUGGCACCGGCAGUCUCCCCAGAGUUCCCGGCAUGACCCGCUGGCAACUGAGGACAAGGGUUGCGCUCGUUGCGCCACUUAAGGCAACACCUCACGGCACGAGCUGACGACAGCCAUGCACCACCUGUGCAGGCUCCGUAGAGCGCCGGCUUUCACCGGCUUUACCCUGCAUGUCAAGCCCAGGUAAGGUGGGGAUGACGUACCAAGGUUGGUU